ACCCCUACGGGGGGCAGCAGUGGGGAAUCUUAGACAAUGGGCGCAAGCCUGAUCUAGCGAUGCCGCGUGAGUGACGAAGGUCUUAGGAUCGUAAAGCUCUUUCGCCUGUGAUGAUAAUGACGGUACCCGGAGAAGAAGCCCCGGCUAACUCCGUGCCAGCAGCCGCGGUAA
rnacentral:rRNA from 1 species